GCAGGUGUCUGGGGCCUGACUCUAGCAGUUUGGAGGAAGCAUCAGGGAAAUGUCUAUGUUGCUCUUUCUCUCCUAGCUUCUGGGAGCUGGCAAGCAGAAAAGGCACUGCCUGUGGUUCUGGACAGCUGGCCGGGGCUGCGCCGGAUGCCUGGUCCCUCCUCCUGUGCCCCAGCCGCUCAAGAGUGGAGGAGAAGGUGUGAAAUGAUUUUGACCUUGGCGUCUAGUCUGAUCCCUCUCACUCUGAAAGUGCUUCUGCAUGUUGGCCUGUGUCACUCUCUGGUAUCUCAGCUGGUUGGGAAGAGUCUCUGUUGGUCAUUACCCUUGUUGGAGCCCAGACAGGGUCAUCUGGCCACAGCGGGAGGCAGCAGUGAGGAGCAGCGGCAGGCAUACAGCCGAGACAAGAUUUCAGCACUGAGAACAGUUUCCUGGAAGAAGCUUGGUCUAGAAGCUCCAUCUCUGUAUCCCAUAAAAUUGCCCUGGCUAGAACUUCCAGUUCAAUGUUGAACAGAAGUGGUGAGAAUAGCCAUCCUUGUCUUACUCCUAAUCAUAGAGGAGACACCAAGAAUGCUGGUGUGCAGAGAAAGAACCACAUGAGGACACAGGGAGAAAGAAGAUGGCCAUCUCCAACCCAAAGAGAGAGGCCUUAGGAGAAACCAAACCUGCCGACACUGUGCUCUAUGACUUCCAGCCUCCAGAACUAGGCUUCUCUCGUAGAUUGCCUUGCUGAACAUGGGCGUGCAAGACAAAGUAGCUGAGGUGGAUUAUAGUUAUGCCUCGUCUCAUUAUGAAAGUGGUUCAAGCACCCAGCUCAGCCAAUUUGGAGGCUGGCGGCUCUGACAACGCUCAGAGCUAUUAAUUUCCUUGUGUGUGUUUGUGUGUCUCCAGAAACCACCCAGAUUCAGAGAAGAGCUAGGAUGCUCCCGGCACUGGUAAUGAUCGUCUCCCCUCUUAGUGGGGAAAAGCGAUUAGCCACCAUGGGGUCAGCCUGUCUUAGGAACGGCAGCCCCACCGGCUUCCCAGGCCCCUCGUGCUAUGGAGUGCCAGAAAGAGCUAGCGUCACUAUGAAGCCCGGCCGUGACUCAUCUGCCUCCCCAACUUCUCUCUCAAAAUGUGCUCUCUGGACUUUCUCAGGCAAGCCUGAGUGGCUCAUUGCAGACACCCAUCAUUAACGUGCCUUUCACGCUUCUUAAUUCCCUCCAGAGCUUUAACAAUCAUCGCAAACACGAACAGGGUAUUCUUCCCAGAGAAAGACAUUCAUCAUGACUCUCCCCAACCUCCGUCUCAAAGCGCAGGAAUUACUUCAAUUGCCAAUGGGAAGAGGGAGCCAACAGGUAUUUUUAAAGAGGCUCUAUCCACUGGAGGAUCGAAAAGAAAAUAUCCCCUUUGAGCAUUUAGUCACACACAUCAAAGGAAACAACACUUUCAAUCUUCAUUUGCAUCGUACAGGCAUUAGAUGUGGUCCAGUUACACUGAGCUCCGCUUGAAAAGGCAGAAGUGCCAGUACUUUUCAAGCCUUGACGGAGACAGAGAGAAAAUGCAGCCAGGCAAAUAAUAUAUCACCCUGCCAAGGCAUUUUCCAUUUUUAAAAGGACAGAACAAUUUUACAUUAUUUCUGGAGCCUCUUUGCAGCAAAUAUCCCUUGACAUUUAUUUUAGCACCCUGGCCGGCCAGCCUAAAAGCCCUGGCUGCUCCCAGCCUGCUGCUCCUGUGUGCCGGCGACCACGUUCUGCCUUUUGGUCUUGAAGCUCCAGACGUGAGAAGGGCAAGUGGCCAAGGCUUUUGAACACAGGCCGGAGGAGGUUGGUUCUGCAGAAGGGGCCGAUGAAGAAGACAUCACCCUGGUGGAAGGGAUAACAUAGCAUUUCAAGUCACUUGAAGAUGGAGAACCAUCAUUCACGGCUCAGAGCUACCAGGAUGAAAACGCAAGGCAGGCUUGGGGUUUUUCAGAGAUAAAACAAUGAAGUGUGCGUGCUUGCACUUGAUGGGGAGGCCUCUUGGGGAAGCGGAAACGGCCACCGGUUCUAGAAUAAUUAGCACCAAAUGACUUCUAGUUAGGGUGACAAAUGAACAAGUUUUCCAGAUCUGGAGACUCAGGAUCGGGCUAUUAGGUAAAAAUUUCCAAACUGUUCUUUCUAAGGUGGUCUGUGGUUCAUUCCUUGCCAAGUGUGAGGUCUUUUGUCAGAGGGCGAACUGUGGUUUUAUUGUUACAAGUCCUCAGCCCCGGCUGGCCUGAAAAAUCUCAGGGUGCUGAAUGAUUAAUUCCAACCUGCCCUAGAAAACGUUAGUCAGCUGGCAAAAGGAAAUAGCCCAACACAGAGGCAAAAAGAGCAAAUUGACUUUAUCUGUGAGUGAUUAUGUUUGACAAGAUGAGAAAAAAAAGAAAUCUUUUGUCACAGAAGAAAAUUGUACUUUGAGAAAUCUUUGCCCAAGUCUUAAGACUUUGCUUUACACAGUUUGAAUUAAAAUGGAAAUAAUCCCAGUCCCCCUCCCACCGCCCCCGCUUCUCUCCCAAAUAAAGAGCAGAGAAACAAAACUUCAUUUUUAUAUGUUUACUAUAGCAGAGUUUUAGAAAUCAGAUCAGGAAUUCCAGGUCUACUCCAGAGUAGCAUUUCCAUUAACUAGCAAAUUCUCUUUCAAGAAACCUAUUUUUGAAUUGCUGUUUACUACUAAAAGUUUAAUUUUUCCUUUAAGUAUUUGUCACACAUGCAGUCAAAUUCCUUGUGGGUGGGAUAGCAGGGCAGAUGGGACUCCUCUCCAAUAAGAAAGGAGAGCCAAUUUUCACUCUGAAAGGGCGAAAAGAUCAGGACUGUUAGAAUCAUUCUUCCGAUUUAACAUUUAUCUUGUAUCCACAGCAUCACAGUCUGCUUAGGAC